rfam:Salmo salar isolate Sally breed double haploid chromosome ssa12, whole genome shotgun sequence.
CUUCCCCUCCCUUACUCCAGUCACUCUGUACCCAGUGGGGUGGUCUGGCAUUGACAGGGGAUACAGCACUGUGGCCCUCACCUCUCUCAUCUAGGACUUUUCUCCUAUAUGAGGCUUGUGAGAGAGCUGACAAU